ACAAAGUCCCACAAUACCUCCCUUCGUCACUUCCAAAUCAGAUUCAGGGUGAGACGUUUCCGCCCGGAUGAAGGUAUUGUCGGGGUGAUAGUCCUUGCUUCCGGAAAGGCGAGCUGAGCAUUAUGGGUUAGUGACCAAGUAUUUUCAGCAAUAUCUACCAUCAAUUGACCAACUUCAAACCCUCUCAUUUAAAAAGUUACUUCUGCGAACUAUCAUGGGUUGUCAGCUCACAUGAGAGGAAAAUGUCUUCAAAGAAAAGUCAAUUUAAUCUUUGGCUGUUUUGGCUACAUACCAGCUUAUUUUUCAGCUUCAAGACAAGGUCUACUGUUUCUACUUCUGUGUGUUUCUGGAUCCAGAGAAUAGAGAUGGGGUUUCACUGUGUUAGCCAGGAUGGUCUCCAUCUCCUGACCUCGUGAUCUGCCCGCCUCAGCCUCCCAAAGUGCUGGGAUUACAGGCGUGAGCCACCGCGCCCAGCCAGUCC